rnacentral:tRNA from 1 species
AUAUAAAUAAGCUAAAUUUAAGCUUUUAGGUUCAUACCCUAAAUAUAGAUAAUAUCUUUUGUAUA